AUGGCUGAGCGCUCCAUGGACGGCCUUGUCGCCUUCCUCACCACCCUCUUCCGCUACCUCGCGGACUGGGAGGCCGUGCGCUACCUGCUCCGUGCCGACGCCGACCUUGUCUACGCGGUGCGCCUCGUCGCGCAUGACCGGUCUCUCUCCCCCUUCCACCUGAACUCUGACGCCAGCAAGCCCGUCGUACGCACUGCCCUCAUGUGCGCCGCGCUGGCCUCCAAGCACACGGAUGGCCACCACCUCGUCGGUACCUGGCUGUCGCCGGUUUGCCCUCUGGAAGAAGCCGUCCACGCGAUCCAGAAUGACAUCAAUAACUUCACCUGUGUAUUCAAUUUCAAUGCACGGCAUCAGGCUCCUGGCAUGCAAACGCAACCCCUUGAUUUCGCUUGGAAGCGCGCACUCGAGCUCCGUCAGUCACCACUCACCACCAACCGUCGUGCCGCAUCGACCUUAAUGGUCCCUCAAAUUUCUGCUCCUCCAGCGCAUCCACGCCUUCUACCUCAAGGCACUCUCCCUGAUGCCGACGAGUGA
rnacentral:rRNA from 1 species